GUCUACGGCCAUACCACCCUGAACGCGCCUGAUCUCGUCUGAUCUCGGAAGCUAAGUAGGGUCAGUCCUAGUUAGUACUUGGAUGGGAGAAAAAUUGCCAGGGGCA
rnacentral:rRNA from 1 species